GGCCGAAUGGUCUAGUCGCAUGAUUCCUGCUUUGUAAGCUCUACCUUCACCACACACACCCAAACUCUCACUAACAUUGUCACCAGGGGUUCUUCACUCAUGUCUGCAGGAGGUCCCGGGUUCAACUCCCGGUUCGGCCC